rnacentral:misc_RNA from 1 species
CCUUCCCAUCUGUCCGUAAUCCUCGAACAGCAUUUCUGAGUCCCUCGCAGUCUUGGGUUGGAGAAGGAACAAUAUCUGGCACACUGAGAGUAGCCAUUUUCUUCCAAGAAUUCUCGAAGGAAACAAACACAGAGAAGCUAAGCUUUUUUUUCUUUUCUUUUACGGGUUAAUGGAGAAAACUAAGGAGAAACAGCGAAAAUUGGGAAAUCUCAGUUCUUGCAGUUUCUCUGUUUCUGUUUUC